rnacentral:lncRNA from 1 species
GCAGUUAGAAAUUAGUGCAGAUAUCAUUUUAAGUAAUUUAACCAAGAGAUGCUCCACUGGCUCACUGUGCGAAGACAAAGUACCAGAGAUGAAAACCAAAUGAUAUGAUUAUCACAAGAAGCAAGGGAUCAGGGCAGUGGUCCAAGAAGAAGGUAUAAUCUUGCCAGGAAACAUAAUUCAAAAAAUGUUCCCUUUAUGAAUGAAGAUGAGUAAAUGAAUCUUGCUGAAAAUUCUCAACAGUUAGUGAGAAGCAGAAAGAUA